AAUACCAAUGGCUUGGUCCAAAAGGUAAACACCACAAAAUUCCUUAAAUAGAAAAAGAGACAUAAAAAGUGAUGAACAAGUUAUAAAACAAAAAUGUUGCAAAUUAUUCUUUCUAAUAUUUGGCCUUGAAAUAUCUUUUUUAGUAGUUAGGUUAUGAUGGAAGUGGUUGAUGAAAAAGGGCAAGAUGAUUACACUCAAGAUGGCACAGUAAAUCUACAAGGUAAACCUGUUUUAAGAUCAAAGACAGGAAGAUGGAAAGCUUGUUCUUUCAUAAUAGUGUAUGAAGUGUUUGAGAGGAUGGCUUAUUUCGGGAUAGCAUCAAAUUUAGUGGUGUAUUUGACAAAUAAGCUUCAUGAAGGUACUGUGGAAUCUUCAAACAACGUUAACAAUUGGUCGGGUUCAAUUUGGAUGAUGCCACUUGUAGGAGCUUACGUAGCCGAUGCAUAUCUUGGUCGAUAUUGGACUUUUGUAAUUUCAUCCUGCAUUUAUCUAUUGGGGAUGUGUUUGUUGACUCUAGCAGUUUCACUACCAUCACUUAGUCCACCACAAUGUGCCCAAGGUAUCCUAGACCAGGAUUGCCCUAAGGCAUCACCAUUGCAAAAGGGUAUCUUCUUCUUUGCACUGUACAUCAUUUCUAUAGGCACCGGUGGAACCAAGGCCAACAUUUCUACACUAGGAGCAGACCAAUUUGACGAGUUUGAUGCCAAAGAGCGAUCCUAUAAGCUCUCUUUUUUCAAUUGGUGGUUUUUCAGCAUUUUCACCGGUGUCCUUUUCGCCAGCACUUUCGUGGUUUACAUACAAGACAAUGUCGGUUGGGCCCUUGGAUAUGCUCUUCCAACCAUUGGUCUCACUAUUUCAAUAUUAAUGUUUUUGGUAGGAACACCAUUUUAUAGGCACAAAUUUCCCUCAGGCAGCCCUAUAACAAGGAUGCUUCAAGUCUAUGUAGCUGCUUUGAGAAAAUGGAAGGCAUGUGUUCCAGAAGAUCCAAAAGAUCUACAUGAGCUAAGUAUGGAAGAGUACACAUGUAACAUUAGAAACAAAAUUGAUCACACAUCUUUCUUGAGAUUCCUCGACAAAGCAGCUGUAAAAACUGGCCAAACUUCAUCAUGGAUGCUUUGUACUGUGACGCAGGUCGAGGAAACCAAGCAAAUGAUAAAAAUGAUACCUAUUUUGAUUUUAACAAUCAUUCCAAGCACAAUGGUUAUGCAAACAUUCACACUCUUCAUUAAACAAGGCACCACACUAGAUAGAAGAAUGGGGCCUCAUUUUGAAAUCCCACCUGCAAGUCUCACAUCAUUUAUAGUUAUCUUCAUACUGAUAAGCCUUGUAGUCUACGAUUGUUCUUUCGUUCCUGUGAUCCGAUCCUACACAAAGAACCCUAGAGGGAUCACACUCUUACAGAGAAUAGGAGUUGGCCUUGUGGUUCAUGUCAUUGUAAUGGUAAUUGCAUGCUUGGUUGAGAGGAAGAGACUCAGUGUUGCAAGAGAAAACAACCUCUUAGGCCCGCACGAUACACUCCCUCUUACUAUUUUCAUUCUAUUUCCUCAGUUUGCUUUAGCAGGAGUUGCUGAUAGCUUUGUUGAAACUGCUAAGAUGGAGUUUUUUUAUGAUCAAGCACCACAAGGUAUGAAAAGUCUUGGAGCAGCCUUUUCCACAACAAGUUUAGGUUUAGGAGGUUUUGCUAGUGCCUACAUUCUAUCAACUGUCGCUGAUAUCACCCGAAGACAUGGUCACGAAGGUUGGAUUUUGAAUAAUCUAAACAUAUCUCAUUUAGAUUAUUAUUAUGCUUCCAUGGUAGUACUAUGUUUAGUAAACCUCAUUUGCUUUGUGGUUGUUGCCAAGUUCUAUGUUUAUAAUGAUGUAAGGCAAAACAAACCAAGCUUAAAGAUGAACUCUACUCCAUCUCAGGACAAUUUUACAAUAAGCCAAAGCAAUCCACAAGAGAUUGCCAAGUCCUAGGGAAAAUAUGAAAACCAAUUUUCAUGAGUUAAAGAAUCAAUUGCGGUCAAAGAAUCAAGUUCACAGGUGUAAGAUUCUUCAAAAGUGUAAGAUUUACUUAAGAGAUUGAAAUGUAGUCACACUUGUAGGUAUCUUCUAGGCUUGACUGGAUUAAUCCCUCGAGUCUUGUGGAACUCAAAUGGGCGGCAAACUCUCUUUUAAUAGCCCUUUUAAUUGUGAUAAAAUGUCCCUAGGUUAUCGAUGAGUUGUUUUAGAAUAAUAACUUGUGACUAUGAGCAGUCGGAUUUAAAUUGAUGUGACAAAAACAUAUUUGAUUUUGGAUUAAGAAAUUGAACUUGGGUUA